rnacentral:rRNA from 1 species
GACGAACGCUGGCGGCGUGCCUAAUACAUGCAAGUUGAGCGAUGAAGAUUGGUGCUUGCACCAAUUUGAAGAGCAGCGAACGGGUGAGUAACGCGUGGGGAAUCUGCCUUUGAGCGGGGGACAACAUUUGGAAACGAAUGCUAAUACCGCAUAACAACUUUAAACAUAAGUUUUAAGUUUGAAAGAUGCAAUUGCAUCACUCAAAGAUGAUCCCGCGUUGUAUUAGCUAGUUGGUGAGGUAAAGGCUCACCAAGGCGAUGAUACAUAGCCGACCUGAGAGGGUGAUAGGCCACAUUGGGACUGAGACACGGCCCAAACUCCUACGGGAGGCAGCAGUAGGGAAUCUUAGGCAAUGGACGAAAGUCUGACCGAGCAACGCCGCGUGAGUGAAGAAGGUUUUCGGAUCGUAAAACUCUGUUGGUAGAGAAGAACGUUGGUGAGAGUGGAAAGCUCAUCAAGUGACGGUAACUACCCAGAAAGGGACGGCUAACUACGUG